AAUGCCGGAUGCUCCAGUUGAUCGCAUGGUCUUCUGGGAAAGCUUUCGCGGUAUGGGAUGGGGUCGCGUCCUAUCAGCUUGACGGCGGGGUAACGGCCCACCGUGGCUUCGACGGGUAGCCGGCCUGAGAGGGCGACCGGCCACAUUGGGACUGAGAUACGGCCCAGACUCCUACGGGAGGCAGCAGUGGGGAAUAUUGCACAAUGGGCGCAAGCCUGAUGCAGCGACGCCGCGUGAGGGAUGGAGGCCUUCGGGUUGUAAACCUCUUUUAUCGGGGAGCAAGCGAGAGUGAGUUUACCCGUUGAAUAAGCACCGGCUAACUACGUGCCAGCAGCCGCGGUAAUACGUAGGGUGCAAGCGUUAUCCGGAAUUAUUGGGCGUAAAGGGCUCGUAGGCGGUUCGUCGCGUCCGGUGUGAAAGUCCAUCGCUUAACGGUGGAUCCGCGCCGGGUACGGGCGGGCUUGAGUGCGGUAGGGGAGACUGGAAUUCCCGGUGUAACGGUGGAAUGUGUAGAUAUCGAAAAAAGAACA
rnacentral:rRNA from 1 species